rnacentral:rRNA from 1 species
CUCGAUCUGGAUCACGGCGGCGGCGGCGGCGGCGACUCCUCUCUCUCUCUCUCUCUCUCUCUCUCUCUCUCUCUCCGCGCACCGAUGCAUCCCCCGGAGCCCUGCCCACCUCCUCCCUUUUCAGCGCCCACAUCGCGACCCCUGUGGCUACUCCACUCUUGAGGCGUCGUGGAGGUUACGGAAACCCGAUGGCGUUGGCUUGCCGGAGAUGAAGAAGACAGCCAGGUGAUGCGGUACUCGGGAGGUGGAAUUGGCAACGGAGGUGGCUCCAUAUGGAUGUCGCGGACCUCCCACUGGAUGGAAUCGAAGUGGGACGAUGUGCUUCGGUCGUCAACGGCGGCUGCGCGGGAUGCAGUAUGGUAUGGAUCGGGCAUCUCGAGGAUGGGCUUUCUUCGCAAGGCUCGUCCACGCCAGUACGCUCUCUGAUCUGAACCUUCUUCUCUUUGCUCACGCACGCACAGACACAGACGUACCUGACCCGUCGUUGAACAGCAGCGGAGGUGUUUGAGGAGUCUGUCCCGGGGUUGCUCGUGAAGCAUGUCGACGUCUCCGUCUUGCCAUUGCUCAAAACACCGCCCUGCCGGCUGGGUCCUUAUUUGCCAUCGAGGCCUUCCGCAACAUGGUCCAUGAUGCCUGAUUGCUUCCUCUUUGGCUGGAUCGGGUCCAACCACACAGUAAGCUAUGCCUCGUCUUCCGUCUUCUUUCUUAAAUUUUCUAUGGUUCUUGGUCUGAUUCUCAAUAAAGAGCUCAAACUCGUCUUGAGUUUUUGGUUAUGGCCUGCACUAUAUUGUUGGUACAGAUUAUUGUACUACUGUCUUGAGUGGCAAAUAUUUACUGAGAUGGGAUAAUAGGUAUACUAUUUUUCUAUUUCAAGACUGAAAUAUGAUUUCUUCCUGCUCUAUGUCAAUUUAAUUUUUUUCUGAAUAAUUUACCAACACAGUGCAGGUUGAUGUGUGUAGCACGUGUUAACAAAAUCUCAAUUAUCUGCAUGGUAUAUAUAUCUCUAAUCAUUGUCUUUUCCAGAAUGAAGAGAAGGUAUGAGAAAGAUAAUACUAAUAUUCCCUAUACAUUUGACUUUUAACUUUUACCAGAUUCUUGGAUUCCUCAAAAUCAUGUCUAUUAGUGUUUCUUCUAUAUAUAUAUAUGCAUGAUCUUUCCUUUUGAAAUUCUCAUUAUGUACAUGAUUUUUGCUACUGCUGGCCUUGAAUUGGCACUGAUUUGGGCCACCUUGUUGAAUGAUUCGUGCACGGAUGUGUUUCGUUGGUCUUUUGCGGCAUGUGGGGAGCGUAAACUGGAAGAACGUGUGCAGCAGGCAUCGCUGCUGCGCUGGACGACGUUGUGCGAGGCCAUGGCCAUGGACGAUGUGCUGUUGGAGAACGACGCAGGGCUAAGGUAGUCGAUGUGAACGACCACUGGGUAUGUAAUGGUUUAGUCCUCCUGAAUUUGCACUCUGUUUUUUAGUCCUCUGUAGUGUUGUUCAAUUUGGGCAGGGCUUACAUUCUCUCAUAGGAUCAGACCAAACAAGGUCUCAUAAGCUUUGCUGUUGUUUUGUUCGAAACAUAAAAACAUCCAUUAUCGAGGAAAGAGUCAUUCUCACAUAGCGAUUUGUUUGCCUCCUUUCAGAAUUCCAAUUGCUUAUGGAUUCGUAUGAUGCAGCCUACAUGUUCCCAUCACCCAGUAAAAUAUAGACAUUAAUUAUUGCAUCUGGGUUUAUAUUAUGCAUCCCCACUGCCAGUUUCAUUGUUAAGUAGGAACGAAGAUUACAUUUAUAAAUGAUAUAUGUAUGUAAUUGUGUGCUGCAUUCUUGCUGCUUCCAGUAGAUGUACUAUCUUUUCAGCGUUGACUUUUAAAGCGUUUUUGCUGACAAGAAGCUUAUCAGUCGUAAUGUUCAGCACCUACAUUACCCGAUGGUCAUGUAGUGCUAGGGAAAUAGAUAUACAAUAUGUUAUAAAGGAUAAGACAAAUAAUUAUUGGGUGUGAAAGAUCAGGAUGGAAGCAUUUUUUUUGCUAUCAUAUGAAUUAUUGAAUACAAUCUCGUAUGCAACCCCUCAAAAUUAGAUUUAAUUCAUGCUCGUACACCAUCACUUAAGUAGGAAAAGAGAAGUAUUUCUAAGGCUACUCUAUAUCUUAUUUUUCUUUCACAGCAUAUAUAUUAUUAGUUAUAUGUUUGCCUGGGUAGGAAAGUAACAAUCAAUCCCUCAAAAUAAAAGGAAACUAAUGAUCAAGACCUUAGCUGGCUGACGGUAACUCCAUUCAUUCUCAUCCAAUUAUUAUUAUUUUAGUUAUUUUUCUAUUCUCAUGGGUAGGUUUCUUCUGUGUUGUUUUGCUUUAGUUUCGUAGUUGUCACUCCCAUGUAUUUCUUCGACGAGGAGGCGUGGACACGAGGCCUAACUAUCCGGUCGGGACUUUGAGUUGCCUGCCAUGGUGGAGCUCGGGAUGUUGGCAGAUCUGACCGGACUGUGCCAUUUGGAGUAACAGUCUACAAUGCCACAACACUUUGUUGGACCUAUUUUUGGCGUUUCUUCUGCCAGCUGAUGAGUCUUUUAGGGAUGCAAAUUGUCUGCCUUCGAAAAAUCAGAAGAAUGAAAGAAUGGGAUUUAUAGCAUAUAUGCUCUAUGUGCAGCUGAUGAAGCUUUGAGAGAUGAAAAUUGGUUGCCUUUGGAAAAUAAGAAGAAGGAAAGAACGGGUGUUUCAAUUGGUGGGGGAAUCGGAAACAUCUCAGACAUUUUAAAUGCAUGACUGCUGAUUGCUGAAAAUGAAAUAUGCAGUUAUGGAUCCAUUCUAUAGUUGGAAUAUGAGACUCCAUAUGUGUGUGUAUGUUUAUUCUUGCUUGAAUCUGGUGCUGAAGGUGUGAACAGGUGCUUUGACAUUAGCAAGUCUUUUGCUUUAUCCGAAUACGCUUGGUGAUGGCGCCGUGUUCAGUGGUACACAACGAGAUGUGAUGAAGCUUAAAUUUAUUGGUUGGUAUCAAUUGAACGACUUGUCAACAAGAGAUGUGGUCGUGGAUUAUGGAGUCCACAUGAUCUUAUAGAUGGACGAUGCUGGGCAAUUUCUUUAGAUCUUCUUGAUUUGUGGGAUACUUGAUCUUGCAACUCUGACUUGACUAAUAGACUAGAAAAUAUCUUAUUAACGAGGAGAGACAGGCAGCAGCGCAACAAGGAUUAGGGAAAGUAGCAGCAGCAGCAUGACUCUGCAUAGAAACAGUUUCGAAAAAGCUCGAACAACAAUGAGCUUGUUUUAUUUGCUGAUAAGGCUACAUAAUGUGAUUUCUCUAUCACUGAGCAUAAAAUCUUGUUUUGCAGUACACUAGAAACUCAAGAUGUCACAGCAAUGGUUGCAUAGAUUAGGACACUAUAAUGAAUAGUGUGAUUUUGAGUAUUGUAUAUAUCAUAUGUUAUUUAGUGACUUAGUUAUGCUUGAAGAGAGUAAUGGAGCCGAGUCUCUGUAUACUUUGUAUACACAAGUACAUUUGCUUGCUGGUAGAGAAUUUCAUGUAUGACAUGUAUGAUUAAUGCUACAAGAUGC